AAUCUGAUUGUGAUUUAAAUCUAACUAAUUUUGUGAUAAAAUUAAAUAAACCAACUUACAGAUGAUCGCUAAUAUUCCAAUAAAGAUUUGAUCGAUCCGGAAGCGUGCGAAGCACUGCCCUAAGGCGUAUUUCCGUCCUUACGUGCGGGAUUAACCGGAAAUAACACCCCAAAGUACGACCGGAAUUUCUUCUCCUGCAAGCACGAUCGUGAAGAAGGUUGACAGAGACUCUUUCAACACUCGAUGAUAAAAGAUCAAAUAAAUUAAAAUUAAAAGAAGAAAAAUUCCUCUCUCUG
rnacentral:lncRNA from 1 species